GUUGAUUCUGCCGGAGGCCACUGCUAUCAGAGUUCGAUUAAGCCAUGCGAGUCGAGAGGUGCAAGACCUCGGCAUACUGCUCAGUAACACGUGGACAACCUACCCUGUGGAAGAGGAUAAUCCCGGGAAACUGGGGAUAAUACCCUAUAGACUAUAGACGCUGGAAUGCUCUGUAGCCGAAAGGUCCGCCGCCAUAGGAUGGGUCUGCGGCCGAUUAGGUUGUUGUUGGGGUAACGGCCCAACAAGCCUGUAAUCGGUACGGGUUGUGGGAGCAAGAGCCCGGAGAUGGAUUCUGAGACACGAAUCCAGGCCCUACGGGGCGCAGCAGGCGCGAAAACUUUACAAUGCGGGAAACCGUGAUAAGGGAACUCUGAGUGCCCGUAAAAUCGGGCUGUCCAUCAGUUUAAAAAACUGGUGAAGAAAGGGCCGGGCAAGACCGGUGCCAGCCGCCGCGGUAAUACCGGCGGCUCGAGUGGUGGCCACUAUUACUGGGCUUAAAGCGUUCGUAGCUGGUUUGUUAAGUCUCUGGGGAAAUCUUCCGGCUUAACCGGAAGGCGUCUCAGGGAUACUGGCAGACUAGGGACCGGGAGAGGUGAGAGGUACUCCAGGGGUAGGAGUGAAAUCCUGUAAUCCUUGGGGGACCACCUGUGGCGAAGGCGUCUCACCAGAACGGCUCCGACAGUGAGGGACGAAAGCUGGGGGAGCAAACCGGAUUAGAUACCCGGGUAGUCCCAGCCGUAAACGAUGUGCGUUAGGUGUAUCGGUGACCACGAGUCACCGAGGUGCCGAAGAGAAAUCGUGAAACGUACCGCCUGGGAAGUACGGUCGCAAGGCUGAAACUUAAAGGAAUUGGCGGGGGAGCACCACAACGG
rnacentral:rRNA from 1 species